rnacentral:tRNA from 1 species
GUUUCCGUGGUGUAGUGGCUAUCACAUCCGCCUUACACGCGGAAGGCCCCGGUUCGAUCCCGGGCGGAAGCA